rnacentral:rRNA from 1 species
GACGAACGCUGGCGGCGUGCUUAACACAUGCAAGUCGAACGGAAAGGCUCUGCUUUUGUGGGGUGCUCGAGUGGCGAACGGGUGAGUAACACGUGAGUAACCUGCCCUUGACUUUGGGAUAACUUCAGGAAACUGGGGCUAAUACCGGAUAGGAGCUCCUGCUGCAUGGUGGGGUUUGGAAAGUUUCGGCGGUUGGGGAUGGACUCGCGGCUUAUCAGCUUGUUGGUGGGGUAGUGGCUUACCAAGGCUUUGACGGGUAGCCGGCCUGAGAGGGUGACCGGCCACAUUGGGACUGAGAUACGGCCCAGACUCCUACGGGAGGCAGCAGUGGGGAAUAUUGCACAAUGGGCGGAAGCCUGAUGCAGCAACGCCGCGUGCGGGAUGACGGCCUUCGGGUUGUAAACCGCUUUCGCCUGUGACGAAGCGUGAGUGACGGUAAUGGGUAAAGAAGCACCGGCUAACUACGUG